CUAGCUUACGGGGGGCAGCAGUGAGGAAUAUUGGUCAAUGGGCGGAAGCCUGAACCAGCCAAGUCGCGUGAGGGAAUAAGGCCCUACGGGUCGUAAACCUCUUUUGCCGGGGAGCAAGGGCCGGGACGAGUCCCGGUCCGGAGAGUACCCGGAGAAAAAGCAUCGGCUAACUCCGUGCCAGCAGCCGCGGUAAUACGGAGGAUGCGAGCGUUAUCCGGAUUUAUUGGGUUUAAAGGGUGCGUAGGCGAGCUUUUAAGUCA
rnacentral:rRNA from 1 species